AAACAGGCUGGCAGCAACGGUUCAAACAGGUUGGCAUAAAAGCAACCAUGUUUUACAAAGUUGAAAAGAAAAAAAAUGAAAACAUGGCACAAAGUGAAACAUCUGAAGUUGAGCAUCCAUAUUAGAAAAGAAACCCAAUUUUAAGCUUUACUAACACAAUAAAAAAUGAUCUCAACCAAAAGCAACAUCCGCACAAACAAAAUAAAUUCCAUCUUUCAAAUAAAUCAACUCUAGUUUCAAAUUUUAGCUUCCAUUCUAAUAAUAUAAAGUUCAAAAAGCAGCAAACAUGAAGAUAAUGAGAAGAUACAUGCCUUUUCAGAUACCGGUGAAGACAGAGACGGUGGUGCGUGGUGGAAGUUGGAACAACGUCAGCAUCAACAUAGCAGGGUUCGGCAGUGAGCAAAGGCAACAAUAGAGAACAAAAACACUUGCAAAACUAGAAACAGUUGGCUUCAUUUGAUUUAGUUUGAAUUAAUUUUUAUUGUAAUUUAAAAAAUGUAAUUUGAUUUGUUAUUGUUAA